rnacentral:rRNA from 1 species
AUGGGUGCCUGCUUCACCAAGGCACGCAGACGCAGCCCUUCCUCACCAUGGCCGGACCUCCCGCCGAAGGUUGCGGGGCUCAUCCUCUGCCGACUGUCGUCCUACGCCGACCGCCUGAGCUUCCGGGCCGUCUGCCACCAGUGGCGAAUCGCCGCGCAGCAACAGCGGCCGGUGCUGCCGCCGGCUCUGCCGUGGCUCCACCAGCGCAUGGACACCUACCAAAGCCUGCCGGACGGCAAGGUGCACCGCUUCGCCGUGCCGCGGGCGCCCUGCAACUCGUCCGGCCGCGACGCCUUUGACGGGAUGCUUUGCAACUUCGGGAGCUGGGUCCUCUACGAGCACCACCACGACGAGGACCACACCUACAGGCGACGGUGCUUGCUGCGUAAUCCGUUCUCCGGAGCCACCAUACACAUACCGUGGCGCUCCAUCGACGGCCGCGAACGGCCGCUCAUGGAGUUUAUUUUCAAGUUGAUCGUGUGCUCGUCCGAGCUCGUCGCGGCGCUGGUCUUCGCGCCGAGCGGGGUCGCGUUUUUCCGGCCGGGCGCUGGCUUCUCGUGGUCGUUUAGCCCGGCGGAUGAUAGUUAUACAACAUACAAGGACAUUGCCUUUUUCCAUGGAAACCUGUAUGCUCUCAACGGGAGAGGGGGGCUCUUCCUUCAUCACCAUGACUCGGGUGGUCAAGUCGAGCAUGUCAUCAAGACACCGCCUCCGGCGACGAAAUUCAGCGAGCUUCCUGACGAUUGUCGAUCCUUCAUCCAGCACCUCGUUGUAUCGUCAUCAUCCGGCAAGCUGCUGAUGGUGCGAUGGGGAAUCGAUCCUCCUAAUUAUGGGGUGAAAAAGACGGCAAUUGAUCACGGCAUUAGGUUGGACGUGUUCGAGGCGGAUUUUGAGAAAAAGCAGUGGUCGGAGGUCAAGGACUUGGGCGACCAGGUUCUCUUCGUUGGCAGAACAGGCUCUAGGUCGAUUUGUUCGUCCCAUUACGACGAAAGAUUUCGAGGGAACCGUGUGUUCAUUUUGGGCCUUGAAUGGAAUCAGACAGCCAACCAUGCGCAUGGUAGCUCUAUGUACAAUUAUAAUCAUGUUACUCCUAGCUAUCUUGUGUAUGACGUCAAGAGCGGCACAGUUACUGCAGUUUCACUGGACGGUGCACCGCCUUCUUACGAAUCCGUGUCUGAAUGGCUCUUCCCUUGUGACUAA